rnacentral:ncRNA from 2 species
GAGUCUCGACCCCGAACCGGUACUUUUAUCGCUCCGUGCAUAAAAGUGAAAUGGGAAACAGGAAGGCUGGCGAUUCGCGCCGGCCCAGCCUGUGCUGCCCCCGCAACGGUCCCCACGGCGCUAUCCGUGGCAGCCCGAUACCAGCCGGUUCGAUAUGAGCCGG